UGGACUUUCUUGUCAGAAGGAGAAGGGGCACAGUGAAUGCUGCAGUUUUUGUUACAGGUUUCACCAUAUGUACCCAAGGGACACUCCUCACCCUUUCCUUGAAUCACAUAUAUUGGGACAA